CUGCGCGUAGGAAACUUUAUUAGGGCUUGGGCUUUAGGACCACAGUGGACUGCCUGCAGGGAGCCACUUUAGUCCUGUGAUCAAGGACGCGGCUCUGUGUCCCCGCAGAGGGCAACUGUCCUGCAGCUUGGAUGUGGGGCAGGGGGUGUCUGCUGUGGUGCCACGGGGACAGAUGGGGACACGCUGGGCAGGAGGGGCUGCAGCCCCGCGCCGUGAGUGAGGUGUGGGGAUCUGGCAUGUGUCGGAGCCCUCCUCCCCACGAAGAGGUGUGAGCAGACCCUUGUGUUACCUGGCCCAGCCCACUCCACCACAGGACCUUUGCACGGUCCUGCCUCUCCCCGGCUGACUGUCCCCGAGGUCACUGCACUGUGGCUCUCUCCUUGGCUCUCUGCCACCAGGGGCAGCCUGGGUUCCUGAGCCCCUGGUCCCCAGGCCAGGCGAGGCUGGGAGUGCACCCCACACCCCCAGGUGUCCCCGCCUGCCCCAGACGCAGCACCCUGUCUUGCCAGCCCCUCUCCUUCCUCCCCAACCCCACUCCUGGUGCAGGGCUCGGGAGCCCCUCCACGGCCAGGUGGGUCUGUCCAUGAGUCCAGGCCCGAGGGUCCUCGCCAGGUGCCUGGGUGGCCUGGAGAGCAGGGGGUCUCACAGGGGCCCCAGCACCGCGGAGCGAGGACCUGGCUGGGUUUCCGGGCAGAGUUCGAUCUGUGGCCACCCUGGCAGGGUGUGAGCCUUCUGUGUGCAGUGGGGGAGCCGAGCUCCUGGCUGCUCCUCUUGUGCACCUCGCUAGGACCCUGGCCGGGAGGACCAGGAGCCAGGAGGGACAGGGAGGCCAGGCCGAGUCGGGGGUCCGGGAGGCUCCAGGCGGAAGCGGGGUGCACAGACCCGCACGGGGAUCCUGCAGGUGGCCACUGGCUGCGGUCCGCACACACGGUCUCACGGGGCCCGUGCCAGAGCGCCCAGCGCGCCAGGCAGCAGGGGUGGCAGGAGCAGGGGCAGUGUGCGUGCGGCAGCCGAGCAGGAGCACACGGCCGGCCCGUCCUGCGUGCGGCCCUGGGGCCCGCCCUGUGCCCCGCCCACGCUCACGCCGGCCCGGGGCUCCCCGCACACCAGCCAGUCCCGCGCAGUGGACUGUGGGUACCCAGCUGCCGCCUCCAGCUCGCCGUCCAGCACCUUCCAGUACUCCUGGCCGCGGAAGAACCCGCGCUCACCAUCGGACCAGCGCAUGGCGUCGUCCAGCCUGCUGGGGACCCCCCUCCACAGGGGGCCCUGGGCAGGGUAGCCGGGGUCCAUGCUCCGCGUGUGGUCGUCGUGAGCGCCAGUACAGCUGGUCCUUGAAGAAGUAAGUCCGGUCAUUGUGGGCCCAGGCGAAGGCUGCGUCCACGCCGCCUGGCGGGAGGCUGAAGUCGGAGAUGGGCCGAGGGUACCCUUCCUCGACGUUGUUGUCCUUGAACACCCAGUAUCGGUCUCCUGGGGGCGAGAGCACCAAAGCGCGCAGAAACAGAGACAGAGAGGGCAGUCAGGCUCGGCCCUGGCCUGAACACCCCUGCGCCGUCCUGGGCAGGGGUGGCCGUGGCAGUCGAGUCCUCCCUGGUGUGCACUGAGCGCCUCACACCACAGCUCUGGGCGGCUGGCUGCCUCGGACCCAAGCUCCGCUCCAGAUGCCACUUAGGGCACAAGGGGACCCAGGAAGGGCGACAGCGCAGGACUGGGAGCUUCCCGGGCUGAACCCUGCUGCCCACGUGGUCUCCACACCUCCCAGGACGUGCACCGGACAAAAUUUCAAGGCCCUCUGUGGACAAAACCUUGGGUGUCUCUAAGAAGACGUCCUGUCACCCCACACCAGAGAGGCUGAGGGAGGAGGGUGGCAGGGAGUUUGAGGCCGCCUGGGCUACACAGUGGGACCCUGCCUCAUGAAACCAAGACUGAAAACCCAACAGGCCCUCUGGACGGCAGAGGGUGGACAAGGCUCGGCACACCUUGGUCAGCAGGAAGCACAGUGGACGCCAGCGAGCCUGCGCUGUGGACAGGAAGCUACUGCCGGGCUGAGGUCUGCAGAGCUCAGACCAGGUGUAGAGGAGGGGAGGGGACUCCUGGCCCCACACAAGGCUGAGCUCAGAGCACAGGCAGCCCAGGGCCUCAGGCCGCCCAACAGAAAGCAGGAUGGGGGCCAGGGAGCCUGGGUUUCAUGGGCUGGGAUCCAGCAGGGAGGAUCCACG
rnacentral:lncRNA from 1 species